AUUGAACGCUGGCGGCAUGCCUUACACAUGCAAGUCGAACGGUAGCACGGGAGCAAUCCUGGUGGCGAGUGGCGAACGGGUGAGUAAUAUAUCGGAACGUGCCCAGUCGUGGGGGAUAACGUAGCGAAAGCUACGCUAAUACCGCAUACGAUCUAUGGAUGAAAGCGGGGGAUCGCAAGACCUCGCGCGAUUGGAGCGGCCGAUAUCAGAUUAGGUAGUUGGUGGGGUAAAGGCCCACCAAGCCGACGAUCUGUAGCUGGUCUGAGAGGACGACCAGCCACACGGGGACUGGUACACGGCCCAGACGCCUACGGGAGGCAGCAGUGGGGAAUUGUGGACAAUGGGCGCAAGCCUGAUCCAGCAAUGCCGCGUGCAGGAUGAAGGCCUUCGGGUUGUAAACUGCUUUUGUACGGAGCGAAAAGGCUUCCACUAAUACUGGGGGCUCAUGACGGUACCGUAAGAAUAAGCACCGGCUAACUACGUGCCAGCCGCCGCCGUAAAAC
rnacentral:rRNA from 1 species